CUACACGGAGGUAUACGUCCUGAACCCCACAGAGGUUUAAACAGUGGUGUAGUAGGAGCUACACGGAGGUAUACGUCCUGAACCCCACAGAGGUUUAAACAGUGGUGUAGUAGGAGCUACACGGAGGUAUACGUCCUGAACCCCACAGAGGUUUAAACAGUGGUGUAGUAGGAGCAACACGGAGGUAUACGCCCUGAACCCCACAGAGGUUUAAACAGUAGUGUAGUAGGAGCUACACGGAGGUAUACGUCCUGAACCCCACAGAGGUUUAAACAGUGGUGUAGUAGGAGCUACACGGAGGUAUACAUCCUGAACCCCAAAGAGGUUUAAACAGUGGUGUAGUAGGAGCUACACGGAGGUAUACGCCCUGAACCCCACAGAGGUUUAAACAGUGGUGUAGUAGGAGGUAUACGCCCUGCGCCCCACAGAGGUUUAAACAGUGGUGUAGUAGGAGCUACACGGAGGUAUACGUCCUGAACCCCACAGAGGUUUAAACAGUGGUGUAGUAGGAGGUAUACGUCCUGAACCCCACAGAGGUUUAAACAGUGGUGUAGUAGGAGCUACACGGAGGUAUACGUCCUGAACCCCAAAGAGGUUUAAACAGUGGUGUAGUAGGAGCUACACGGAGGUAUACGCCCUGAACCCCACAGAGGUUUAAACAGUGGUGUAGUAGGAGGUAUACGCCCUGCGCCCCACAGAGGUUUAAACAGUGGUGUAGUAGGAGCUACACGGAGGUAUACGUCCUGAACCCCACAGAGGUUUAAACAGUAGUGUAGUAGGAGCAACACGGAGGUAUACGUCCUGAACCCCACAGAGGUUUAAACAGGGGUGUAGUAGGAGCUACACGGAGGUAUACGUCCUGAACCCCACAGAGGUUUAAACAGUGGUGUAGUAGGAGCUACACGGAGGUAUACGCCCUGCGCCCCACAGAGGUUUAAACAGUGGUGUAGUAGGAGCUACACGGAGGUAUACGUCCUGAACCCCACAGAGGUUUAAACAGUGG
rnacentral:lncRNA from 1 species